rnacentral:misc_RNA from 1 species
UCCUGUGUUGCAUUCCCAAUGUGACGGAAAUUGACCCUGAAUGAGUCCUUAAUUUUCGCCUCUCACCAGUUUGUGGUGUUAGGUUGACGCGAAAGUACUGCCCAUUCUCCUUGGUUGCUUCGCCCUUUCGCGUUGCAUUCUUGGCCCAUGGGUUGCUACUAGUCCCCUCGGAUGCAGAACUUUUGAAGGGUGCACAGUAUGUUGCUGUUGUUUACCCACAAAGCGUUCAUCAGUCGAUGCGUACGACGACUGUGCCCGUCUUGGUCCCGUGUCCAACUAGUUUGGAUGGGUCUCAUGCGGUGCCGGUGUCGCGAAGGAAUGCUACCUGGUUGAUCCUGCCAGUAGUCAUAUGCUUGUCUC